CCAGCGAAACCAAAACCUAAUUUUGAUAACUUAUAGUCAUCGCUUUCAAUUUGAAGCUUCGUUUUUCUGUCGUGGAUGCGAGACCAAAACAGGAAGUUCGUUUCGGUUUUGUUUGGAAGGAUUGCGAAGUGCGAAACGAAGCGUCGUUUCGGGGGCUGGAGAAGGGAUGAUGCAGGAAGAGCUUGGUGAUGGAGGAGAGAGUGAUGGCGAUGGGGGCGUGUGGAGGAAAGAAUAUACGGUCGCCAUAUCAGAGUUUUUGCCAUUUGCAGUGGCUCCUUGCGAGAAAAUUGGAGAUUUUUUUGUGCGAGUUGAGACGACGGAAGAUUGAAGGUGCGCAGUUUGGGCUGGGUUUGGAUCAAAUCAUGCUCUUUUUCUUUUCUGGGCUUUAUCCGUUUUUAUGGAUUUCUAUAAAUAAAAAAGAUUUAAUUUAAAAUCUAAAAUUAGCCAUAUUAUUAUUUUUUCUAAGAAGAUAUUAAAAAAAUAUAUGUUUAUAUGAAUAUUAAUUUUUUAGUUAUUUAUUUUAUAUAUAUGUAUUUAAUGAAAAAGUAUUAUAUUUUUAUGUAUUUAAUUUGGGGCUUUAUUUUUGAAUUGGACCUACUCGGUUCCAAUUCUAAAUUACUCUUCCCAACUCUAUUCAAUUAUAUUAAAGGAUCAAAUUUCAAGCACAAGGUUAACACUCUAGCUAGUCCACUUUUAUAAAACUUGUAAAUCAAUUGGUACAUGGCAUUUGAGGAAAUCUCAAAUCCCUGGUGCAUGAUUCUAUACUAUAAUUAACUCUAACUAGAACGAACUUAUUAAUACAAUUAAUGCCUUGCAUAUGGAUUUUCUCAGCAAAACUCAAGCUUAUAAAGAAGAUAUUAUGUGUGAGGAUCUGGACAUGUGACCAUGAAUUAGCUGGAUGCCCUCCAACAAAUUGUUUAGCUCUUUUGCAAAUCUUUCCAUUGCUUGGGACGGCAAGCAAAUUGGAAUUACAAUUCCUUUUUCACCUUUCUUAUUUUCAAAUGGUACCAAAAAGCUUGCAAUUAUUGGGAUGGCUCUCACCGGACCACCAUACACAGCUUUACCCCAUCCAAAAUCCACCUCUCCAAAUCCUGCAUGUCUUACAUCCGACACUACGUAACUUCCCUCCUCGUGCAUUUGAGGCCUGCCCUUAAUCACCAUUAGAUCAGCCACCGAUUGUAGAUAUUCUCUACUCAUGCCUGUGGCAGCCUUCCUCACCAAUUUUAAUGCAAAACCUAUCGGAUUUUGAGUGAUUUCUUCAGCAGUUGCUACAGUCGUAGAUAGUACAAAUCCAUUACCGUAAUACCCUUCUGGUAAUAUAGAAGGAUUGAAUUUUCUGCGAGCAUUAUUAAGACAUAUCAUGCGCAUCUCUUGUUUUGGGUUUGGUUGGAGUGCGAUGGUUCGACAUUUCCAUAAACAUGCUGUUAAUAUUUGAAAAUUAGAGCAUUCUUGGAGAUGGGGAGGAGCAAAUCUUCGAAGAGUAGAUAAUGAAGAUAGUUCAAUAAAAAAUGACUUGUCAACUAUAUCAUGAAGAGGAAAUGGAAUUCUAGCACUGCAAGUACUCUUAUUGUCUUCAACCUCAUCGUAUUCACGAUGUAUGCACGUCACACGGGGUGGACUCCUCGCAUUAAGUACGUGCCUCUCCCACACUGGGAGGACAGAAGGGGCUUGUUUCCCUCGAGCCAUCUCGGCCACGCCUGACAUGAAUUGCACAAAACCAGGUGCAUCACUCACCGUGUGAUUCACACGAAGGGCAAGAGCAAAACCACCACACUUAAAACGAGUUACCUGAAAAUUAAUUUAAACAACUAAAUUAAAAUAUAUCUUUAAACAUGGAUUAUUUUAGCCACAAAAAUGACAAUUCAAGGACAUACUCACCUGAACUAGCAAGAGAGGGCAGUUUAGGAUUUCACUUGAGCCAGGGACGUCAAAAAGCAGUUCCUCCAAGCAAGGGAAUGGUGGUUCAAGUGCAUCGCCAGACUGCUCAAGCGUAACAUCGGCAUCGGCCUCUAUAAACAAGAUACCUUCAGCAGUACAUUCCACCAAAAGCUUACGAUUAUGCCCUUCCCGAAGCCUACCAGCAAAUGGAUAAUAAAACACAAGUGCUUUAGCAAGAGCCUCCCUGAUGAUCUUAACAGGGUCUUUCAUUUGCAUAGAGGGGUGAUGACGAUAAACUUGUAAGAGGGGAAUAUGGAAUCGAAGAGACUCUUGGUCAUCAAUGUCGGAUAGUGGCUUAAACUCAUGAGGGGUGGGCUUAGCCGGAGUGAGUAGCUCAGGUUGACGCCUGUGGACCUUAAACAUAGCGGAUGCUGGUAGAGAUGACAUGGCUAGUGAACGUAUUGAACAAUAAGCAAAUCGAAGUGUGAAAAUGGUGAAGAUAGUUCUGUAAGCUUGAUAUGCUCAUGGAUCUAUAAGACAUAGCAGGCUAUCUAUUUAUACAAGAAAAUACGUGUGAACGAGCUCAGAUGGCGAGGGGACCUGUUUUCAUCUCUUUGUACGGACGGCGACACCAGCUUAUCAACAACCACCACCUUCACAUUGUAUCAUCACAUCAUGAAUGAAAAUAUCAGCAUUCCAUGACAUUGAUCCAUGUAUCUACUUUAGUUUUUGUAAUUAAUUAAAUUAUUGGACACUGUUAAUGAAAAGUUUUAUUGGCAAAAUUAUUUGAACUAUUAACCUUUUUAGAUAAUAAUGAUUUUAUAAUCAUAUGUAUUUAUAAUAAUUAAGUUUUUGGAUACAUUAAUAUACAUAAAAAAGUUAAAACGUCAAAUUUGCCUGAGUUAUACAGCAGAGUUAAAAAUAUUAAAUUUUAUGUUUCGAAGAUCUAAAAUUUAUCUCUAAAUUAUUAUUAAAAGUAUAAAUAAAUUAACAAAAAUACAGUUAAUUCUUAGAUUUUUAAAAUUUAUGGAUUCAGUUUCAAUGAUAAUUCACAAAUUAACGCUUAAAAAUGAAAUUUAUCAUUUUUAACUCUUUCAUCGUAUAAUUCAAAAAGUAAAUUUAAACUUUUUAGUAUACGAAAUAAUAUAAAAAAAAUUUUAAAAUUAUUAGUAUUAAUGGAAAAGUUUUUUUUAAUAGCAUGCCAAUUUCUUUUAAUGGUAACAAUUUAAUGGCAAAAUAAUCAUGAUUACGUUUUUAUAUUAGUAAUAUAUAAUAAUUUAUAUAUUAUUAAUAUAAAUUUAUAGUAGCAAAUUUUAUAAUUUUAAUAAUAAAAAUUUUACUGUUAAUUUUAAUUUUUUUUAUAUUAUCAUAAAUAAAAUAAAUAAUAAAAAAAAAUUUACUUUUCUUUGUGAAUGUCAUUAUGAGUUAACAAAAAGUCUACAUGCAAUGCACAAAAUGACGUAUUCAUUCAUUAUUAGGAAAAGAAAAUGUGAUUGACAAUUUAAAUGAGCUAAAAUCAUUUUCUAUGAAUGACAAUAAUUUUAAAUGUGAAAAAGGAAAAACAAAGGAACUGCAUUAAUUAUUAUUGGGUAUAUAUGGCAAAGUUUAAAUGUGAAAAAGAACACACAAAAAAUGUUUUCAAAGAUACGUCAAAUUGCACGCAUGUUAGGUAAUAGUUAUGGGAGUUCUCAUAUUCUAUUUUUUUAAUUUUUAAUUUUUAUUUUAAGAAAAAAUACUUCAAUUUUAAAAAAAUUUAUAAAAUUAACUUUUAUUUAUUUGAUGAAAAAUAUAUUUUUUAUAUUUUAUAAUAUUUAAUAAAUUUAAUUAAUACAAAUAUUUUUUUAAUCAAUAAAAAAAAAAAUCAUUUUAGAAAGAAACUUUUUGUUUUGAAAAGAAAAUUUAUUUUUUACACUUUAAAAUUUUUAUUAAAUAUAAAUUUAUUAAUAAAUUUUUUUUUAAUUUAAGAUUAAGUAAUAAAAAAUAAGUGAUAUUGUUGAAAAAUAUAUUUCAUAAAAAAUAUUCUUCAUAAAAUAUAUUUUUUAAAUAUAAAUUAUUUUUCAUAAAUAAAAAAAAAUAUAUGUCCAUACGAGUAUUAAUUUUUAGGAGUUAGUUAUUUUAACAAUUUGAUCCUCUAUUUAUUUUAUGAAAAUAUUUUUUAAAAAAUUAUUUUCUGAUGUUUAGAUAUAGAGAAAAUUUAAAUAAUAAAUAAUAAAAAAUAAAUUAUUUUAUAUAUAAAAUAUUUUUUUAAGAUGUCAUUAUUAAAAAAAUCUUAUAGUGCAAUUUUAAAAAUAAGAUAUUAAAAUAAAUAUUAAAUUACAUUAUUAAAAUAAAAUAAUAAAUAUAUAAUUUGCACUAUCCGUUAAGCAAAAAGAUUAAUUAAAAAAUUAUAUCUUUUACAAAAUAAUUUUAGUUGUAAAUAUAAAAUUAUAACGAUUGUUAUUAAAAGAAUUAUUAUAUACAUUAUUAAUAAAAAAAACAAACCAAUAGUUAAAAUUCUUUAAAAAAAUAAAAUUAAAUAUCGUAUAUCUUUGUGAAACAUAAUAUUAUAGGGGUGAGCAUCCGGUCGGUUCGGUUCAAAAUUGAACUGAACCGAAAUAACUGAAAAUCGAAAUGUAGAAUUUUACACAAAUCGAACCGAACCGAAUAAGGGGAAUAACCAAAUUGAACCGAACCGAUUCGGUUCGGUUCAGUUCGGUCGAACCCCAUCGAUUGAAUAGAUUUUUAAAUUUCUUAGGAGCCUUCGUUUUACUCUUCUUUUGUCUCGCAAACCAAGUAGAACCCACCAAUCAAUACCUCACCCUAUAACUAGAGAUCCACCUUCAAGUACUCCAUGGCCUUGAUCGUCUCUCUUCCAAUUGGGACUCCUCCUCAGACCCAACAAAUGGUUUUGGAAACUGGUAGCUGCUCUCCUGGAUUCAGUGCCAUAACAAGGCUCCUAAGAAGCCUCCUCUUACGGUGGCGUUUGAUCCUUCUCUCUCCUCUUUCUUCUCCAUUUUACCAUGCACUCACCCUCUUUGCAAGCCGAGAAUUUUCGAUUUUACCCUCCCUACUUCUUGCGACCAGAACCGUUUAUGCCAUUAUUCUUACUUCUACGCUGAAUCGCUGAUGGUACCUUUGCCGAGGGCAGUCUCGUCAGAGAAAAAUUCACAUUUUCUAGUUCCUAAAGCACCCCUCUUCGGUUCGGUCCUGAGAGCAACGCGGAGAGCCGAUGGACUGGAAAGCGACGGCCGACGCUGACGAUUGCGUGGAGAGAGAGACUAGAAAGCGACAGUGAGGUGAGGAGGAGUCCGCGUUGCUAAGUCGCGCAUCCGCAACGUAGUCAAGAGCGACGACUCGGGUUAGCCGCGAUGGUUAAUCAGUCGAUGCCGGGAGAAAAGUGGAGGUUGGACGGCGGACGGUGGACCCGCUGGAAGUGGUGGAGCUCAGUGCUCGGAGAAGAGGCACAGGCAUUGUGUGUGACAUGAGGGUGAGGCGGCGUGGAAUGGAGAUUAGCGUGAACUCUACUUUUAGAUUUAGGGAAAAUAAGAGUACAUUUCAAAACGACAUAGUAUAGGUGAUUUGGUUCGGUUCGGUCUAAUAAAAAAUUUUGAAUCUAAAACCGAAUCGAACCGAAAUCACCGAUUUUUCAAAAAAUGAAACCCGAAUUGAACCGAAUUAAAAAUAAAAUCGAAUCAAAUUUUUGAAAUUAAUCGGUUCGGUUGAUUAUUUCGGUUUAAACCGAAUACUGCUCACCCCUAUAAUAUUAUAUCAAAUGCUAUUAAAAAAUAUUAUAUUAGUUAUUUUUAAAAAAUAUACACUGCAAUAAAUGUUAUAUUAAUAGAAAAUUUUUAUAAAUUUUACUAUUAUAAAAAUUAAUAGAUAAUAAUAAUAUGAAUAAUUGUUGAUAGUAAUACAUAUAAAAAUAUAGUAACAAUAAAAAUUAUUAGCCUUAUUAAAAAGAAUUUUUUUUAAUAAUAAUAAUAUAUUAUUACCAGUAAAAUAAUACGUAACUGUUGGUAACUGAUGCUACAUAACAAUCUUUCAAAGCAAACUGUGAGCUGUCAUUGCGAAAUAGGCUCACGUGAUAAGAAAUUAAUAAGUGGAAAAGGCGGUCCAACCUAAAUGAAGGAAGAUUCGGACAUUUUAAUACCCAGUACAUUAUCAAAACUCGUUCUCCCCUUAAUAGGGCGAGCCUAGACACAGAGUUACCAUUAGUAGGCACAACCCAGCAUAUCAUCAUUACACCUGUAAUCGUGAGAUUGCCAAUUUAUUAGCUGGCGAUAUCCCUUAUCAAGCAGCCAUCCACAUCAUCGCCGGGUAAUCAGAAAAUGCUAUAUUUAUCCCCACCUUCUUACAAUAUAAAAGGAGAAGAAUGACAGAAGCAAAUGUAUUAUUCUCUCAUACAAAUACUCUAAGCAAUUUAUUUCAUUAACUCUCUUCUUCAGUAUAUUAACUUAAGCAUCGGAAUGGUUGCCGUGAACACCCACCACCACCUCACAUUCUUUUAGUGCUAAACCAAUCACAACAUAGUUCUAUUCCAGUCAUGUCAUCAAUCUAAUCUCUGCAAUAUCAUUUCGUUUCGUUGCUGGGAGAUCCUUUGAAUCCUCCAUUCAUUUGAAUUACGACUGGUUUCCUAUUCUUUUUUUCAUAGAAGAAUAUAUAUCUCUCUCUUUCCAUUUUCAAAAUGGCAGGAAUUGUACAUGUCAUUAUAGGAGGACUAAAUAAAAGCACAUGAAAAAAUAAGCGUAUAGCAGAAGACGUCCUAUCUGUCGAUCAAGAACUAUAGACCAAGCAAGAGGUAAGGUUCGAUCCUACUGACAAAGCGAUUGGAUUCUUUCAAAAUGAUCCACUGAUUGUUAAGAUCCUCCUGAACCGAUACGAGGUAAGGCGGAUAUUGGUGGAUACAGGUAGUUCUGUUAAACUUCUCAUCUUAAAUGUUUUUAACAAGUUAGGCUUGGAUAAAACAGCCUUGUCAGAGUUUUUUAUCCUUUAGUAGGAUUAGAAGAUAAGAUAGGUCCGAUUCCCGGGUCGUUACAGCUUCACGAUAUUGGGUCACAUCUAUGGAACUUGUACCAUCCUGCAAUGUAAGCAGAGUAGAAGCCAUAGGAGUAGAAAUACCAUGACAGUAAUGCAUAUUAUACUUUUUGAUAAGAUCAAAUAUAUACUUCGAUUCUGAUAACAUAAUUCCUUCUAGCGUUGUGGACACUUCGACUCCAAGAAAAUAGUGAAGUAACCCAAGAUCUUUAAGGGAAAAAUGUUUGGACAAGGUAGCAACCACAUUAGUAAGAGCAAUCUGAUAAUUACCUAUGAUGAUUAUAUCAGGCUUGCGAAGCACAAAGAGUGAACUAUCAGAUUUAGAUUCAUGGAAGCUAUAUUGUGUUAGAAAAGUCUUCAGUGCCAUGUACCAAGCCUUGGGAGCUUGCUACAACCCAUAGAUAGCUUUGUUAAGUUUGCAGACAUAGGUUGGAAAUUCAAAACUGAUAUAACACUUAGGCUGUCUCAUUUAAAACUUAUCAUCCAAUUUCCUUUGUAAGAAGGCAUUGUUUACGUCUAAUUGAUGUAGCUGCUAAUGAUUUUGUGCUGCAAUUCUAAGCACAAGCUGAACUAUCGUUGGUUUAACUACCAGGCUAAAGGUGGAAUGAUAAUUAAUUCCUGGUCUCUAUGUGAAACCUUUCACAACAAAGCAAGCUUUGUACCUAUUAAUGUCUGCAUUUGCUUUGUAUUUGAUCCUGAAAAGUCAUUUAUAGUCAACAAUAUUAUGUAAAUCAUUAGGAGGAACCAAAUUCCAUGUUCGAUUUCGAAUCAAAGCUUUAUAUUCAUCAUCCAUGGCUGCACACCACUUCUCAUCAUUUCUAGCUUGUUUAACAAUUGUAGGUAAGCUGGGUUUGUCUAUUAUUGCUAGGUAAUCAAACAUCUUAUUUGGUUUGAAAAUAUUAUUCUGAGAUCUAGUGAUUACUUGAUGAAUAGGUUGUAUAUCUGAUUGAGGUGAAAUUUCAGUAGAGGUAUUAACAGGCUGUACAUCUAAUUAAGGUGAAACAGCAGUAGAUGAAAGAGGAAGUUUUGUUUGAUGUAAGGAGGAAGGAGAAGAAGAAAACGUACCUGAUGAUUGUGACGCUACUGAACCAGAAGAAGCCUCCCUUAACACAUUGCUUGAAGGUUGAUUCGCAUGUCUUGGAAUGGAGACAGUAAUAAGGGACGAGAUUGAAUCAUCUGGGUGGGACGCACUAGAUUGAUCAUGCUUUUGUAAUGGUGUAUCAAGAUUAUACCAAAUUGGAAGAGAAGAACUGAAUUUUGGGUGUUUAAACAUGGUCUAAAAAGCAAAAUCAUGCUCAACAAACGUGACAUCCAUAGACAAAUAAAUCUUUGUAAAAGUUGGAUCAAAACAUUGAUAACUAUGAUACUGAAUAGAAAAACCUAAGUACACACAAGGGCAAGAUCAUGGUUCAAGUUUGUGUUUGGUAUAGAGUUUCAGCCAUGAAAAACAGAGACAACUGAAAGUUCUAAAGUUAAAGAGAGUAUGGUCUGACUGAAACAAAGUAUGAUAAGGAGAUGAAUAAGAAAGUGUACCUAUGGGUAAUCUAUUGAUUAAAUAGACAGCACUAACACAAGCGAAAGACCAAAGAUUGUAUGGCAGACUGACUCGAUGUAAAAGAGUUCGAGCAAUUGCAGUGAUAUGACAAUGUUUUCUCUUAGCUUGUGCUACUCGUUGUGGGGUAUAAGGAGAGGAGAGAAAGUGUUGAAUUCAAUAGUAGUUAAGAAAUUGUUUAACAGCAAGAAAUUCGCCCUCACCAUAAGAAUAAACACUCUUAACGGUGGUUUGAAAAAAAAUUUUCACAAAGGAUUUAAAGGUAGAAAAGAGUUGAAGAACACCACUUUUAUUUUUUAUGAGAUAAAGCCAUGUAUAUUUUGAAAAUUGAUCAACAAAUAUGACAUAAUAUAUGUUUUUAUCAAUGGAUUCUAUACGCGAUGGUCCCUAAACAUCUGUGUAAAUUAAUUCCAAUGGUGUAUGACUUUUGAGAGACAUAAUGGCGAAAGGCAAACGAAUACUUUUAUUACAUGAAUAAGAAUUACAAUAAUGAAACUCAAUAGAAUAAGAAUAAGGCAAUGAAAAGGAAUUCAAAAUGCUUUUUAAAGUUCUUAAAUUAGGGUGACCUAAUCGACGAUUCCAUAAACUUAAACUUGGAGCAGACACAACAGUAUUUACAGAAGGAAAAGAGCAAGUUGUGUUGGAUUGUGAAAUCGGCCAGACAUACAAAUUAUCCUUAUUCACUCCGCGUAGAAAAGGCGCCCCGUACUCAGUGCCUUCACAUAAAAAUCAAAAUUAAAGAAUUCAAUGGAGGUGUUAUUCUGUUUACAGAAUUGAGACAUAGAUAUCAAAUUUUUUUAGUUUGGGAUGCACACAAAAUAUUCUGUAAACGAAAAUCUUUAAAUGAAUAGGGUAGAGAAACAGAACCUAUAUGAGUAAUUAGUAUACUGGUACCAUUGUCCAUUAUAAUACCUUUAGGACUAGAAUAAGCUGGUCAGACACGGAGUGACUUGAAUUGACCUGAUCGGAUACGGAAUGACCUGAAUUGACCUGAACUGACUUGUUCAUAUUGCUUGGACAUGGAGUGAACUGAGUUGUCCUGAUUGGAUUGGUCAGACAUGAAGUGAGGAAUUGAAUGUGUAAGAGCCUCAUCUAUAACAUCCAGUUCAGCAAUGCAAAUAAGAACUAUGGGAGAUAAAUUUAAAACUGUAGCAUGAAUAUAAGGAAAAAUAUCUUUACAAAAAAUUACAUAUCUACUAACUAGAAUAUUAUUUAUUUGUAAAUCAUAAAGUUUAUAAGUAUUAUGAGUCCUUUUUUAUAUCAAUAUUUUAUAUUAAUAUUUCUAACGUCGUCUAAAAAUUAUCAUUAUAUGUUAACGGCGAAUAUCAUAAAUAUUAUUUUGACACAAAUUAAAUUUUAGAUUUUAAAAUCAAAAAUUAAUAAAAUUAUAUAUAUUUUUUAUACUUUUUCUGUAAAAAAAAUUUUACUAAUUAGUUAUUAUAUUUUUAUGUUUUAAAUCAUCUACUUCUAUGUUUUAUUUUUAUUGAUUUAUUAUGUUGCAUAGACAAUUGUAUAUAACACAACAAUUCCUAAGAUUGUGGUUGGCAAAGUUUCGCUUUAUUUUUGGCAGGUCCACUUACCUGUUGCCCAAUCUUCUUGAUUUAUUUCUACACGUUAACUGAUUAAUUUGUGGAUGAGCUCUGAUAAAAAAAAAAAAAAAGAAAAUUGUGGAACAUGUGAACUUAUUAAUCUGUGGAUGAGCUCUGACAAAAAAAAAUGUGGAUGAGGGAACUAGAGUUUAUUAUUGUGCCUAGCCAACAAAAGAUGUCAUUAAAAAUAAUUUUAAAUAUCAUUUAAUUAUAAUAUAUUAAAUUAUGACUUUUAAUAAAUAAUCCUAAAAAUUAUAUUUGAUGGGAUAAAAUAGACAUUACAGUUUAUAAAAAAAUGUAAGAUAGUUGGCGCUUACAGUAGUCACUUUAAUACUCGAGUUAAUAAAUUGAAGAUAAGAAAGAGUAUAAUGUAAUAUUUUGAACUUAUUAGUAAUUGCUAAAAAUUGUGUAACUCACAUACCUUUAUUCAUCUAUUUUUAUAUUAUAAAAAGAUAAAAUUGGUUAUUAUAUAUCUUGAAAAUCUAAUUACCACACGCUAGUGAAUAUGAUAUUACAUGGUUAUAAGUGUAAUAAAGAUCUAUUAAAUUGCAUUCUUCAAUAAUAACUUUUCAUGGAACCUUACUUUGUAGGUGAGAGAGAAGAGUUAAAUUUAAAACGUUCAAUUUUCAUUUUUCUCGAUAAAAACUAAAUAUUAUUUAAUUAAAUUCUUAUUGUAUAUUCAUAUUUUUAAAUGGUAGCAUAUAGUCUACUUUAAAUAAUUAUUGUGGUAUGUCAAAUAAUAGUGCUGCAUUAAUGCGUUUCUAGUUUUUUCAUUGCUUUCUUACUUUAUUUUACACUUUUAACUCAUUUUCUUUUUUUCAAUAUCUGCCGGCCAUAUAUCUCAUAUAUUUACAUGCGUAUAUAUAAAUAUGUUGAGCUAAAAGCUAAUUAAAUUAAAAUUUUAAUUAUGAAUUAAACUAUUUUAUAUACUAUGAUUAGAUAUAUUAAUUAUUAAUUACAGUAAAAUUUAUACUUAGGAGUUUCACCAUCAAUAAUUGUAAAAAACAUAAUAUAUUGUAAAAUUUCUCCAAUAAUUCUUGAUAUUAUUAAUAGAAUUGUCAAUGAAAUAAUUUAUUUUUUAUUUUUUAAUUAUAAUUCAAAAAUAUUAAUAUUAAUAAAUUUAUAUAUAAUAUUAUUAAUAGAAUUGUCAAACUUUUAUAUCAUGGUUCAUUAUUAUUUCUUUAAAAAUUAUUUAAUUUUUUCUUUAAUACUUCAUUUAUUUGAAAAUAAUUUGUAUUUUGAAAAAUUUUCACAUAAAAACAAAAUAACCUAUGUUUUAUUCUUUAAUUUUAAUUUGAUAAUAAAAUAUAUUAAUAAAUUUAUAUAUAGAGCUAUUGAUAAAAUUUUUAAAAUAAUUUUUUAUUUUUAAUGAAAAUAGUUAUUUUCUUUAAAAUAAUUUGGAAUCCUACCAGUCAAUGGAUAAUAAAAGACAAGUGUAAAUGGAUAAUCAUCGCCCAACUGCUCCCUCGGUGCUCCAAUCCAGGCCUCCUCUGGAUCCUCCAGGAAACUAGAAUUGAAUCGCCGGAGGACUGCUCCUUCUUCCUAGUGAGCCCCUCUCUUCGGAUGGCCUCUGAUCUCAACUACGUUAACACCACCUCUAGUAGCAGUGUAAGGGAUUCGUUCGAUAUCUAAGGAGAAGUAUUUUUUUCUUCUUCUUCAUCUAUUCAUCUGCUUCCUUCUUCGUUGAAUUAUAUUUGUUUUUUUUAUUUUUCUCUCUAUUAUUAAAUUACUAAUUCUCCUAUCUGGGUUUCUUGAUUUUCCUUUUUUGAAAAUUUUUAGGUUUUUUCAUGAAUGAUUGCUUAUUACAAAUUUAAUUAUAAAAUUUUGUGAGUUCUUUUUUUCCGUUGGAUUGAAUAACAGAAAAAGAAAAACCUUUCUGUUUUGGGCUUGUGGUUACUGCUUUGGAUUUUGAUUGUAACACUUUGUUGGUGAAUAUUCAUUAAAGAAAACAAAAAUCAGAUCUUUUUUAGCCAUGGAUUUUGCUAAGUCAGAUCAAAGAUUUCCUUCUUUUUUUCAUGCUCUGUUUCAUCGCCCAAAAAAUACUGUCUAAUUCACCGAAAUGUUCGCCUCUGUUUUCUUUUCCUUGUUUCUGUUUUUGAGAAAACAAGAGACAAACAUGGGAGAAGAAAAUCAAAAUAGAAGCAGAAAUAGAAGCAGCAGUAGCUGUAAUAGCAUAGCAAUGGAGAGCCUCUCUUUGGAAAUAAACAAAUACCUAAAAGAUGAAGAAGAAAAAAAAAAAAGAACAGAUGAAGAAAGCGACGUGGGAGAAUGGAAAAAAGUUGAAUUAGAAAUGAAGGACUUGAGAUUUGUGAAUCUCGUGCAUAGACUUCAAGUCUUUAAUGAUGCGACAAAAUAAUUUAAUUUUUAAAUUUUUAUUUAUGGGUUUUGCUGCAAAAUUGUGUUGUAAUAUCGAAUUUCUCUGGUUGACAACCGUGGACCUUCAAUGCAUGGGAUGCUAGUGGAAUCGACAUGGCUGAUGAGUGAUGAACACUGAAUCCGAAUGGUAAGGGAAUACAGGGAAUGGUCAGGAAAUUUCAUUAAUCCGGGAGUUUAUGACAAGACGGAUCUCCUUCAGGCUUACCAGCUAUCUAUUAAUACGAGGAAAGAUGGUUCUAGAAGCCACAUGGACCUAUGAGAGCGAGCCCAAUGACACUAAAAUUAUACCAUCUGAUUAUGGUGAGAUGGUACACAGUAUAAUAUAAUAAAAUGGCACGUAAUAGCUUUUUCUCCAUGGAUUGCACGAGACGAGUCAAUAGGCCCCGCAUCAUUGACGUUAGUGGCUCUAAAAGCGAAUCCACGGUUACCCACGAAACCAAAACCUAAUUUUGAUAACUUAUAGCCAUCACUUUCAAUUUGGAGCUUCGUUUUUCUGUCAUGGGUACGUCUACCAGAAGAAGAGGUUCGUUUCGGUUAUGUUUGGAAGGAUUGCGAAGUGUGAAACGAAGUGUCGUUUCGGGGGUUGGAGAAGGGAGAUGAUGCAGGAAGAGCUGGGUGAUGGAGGAGAGAAUAUACGGUCGCCACAACAGAGUCUUUGCCAUUUGCAGUGGUUCCUCGCAAAAUUGGAGAAUUUCCUGUACGAGUUGGGACGAUGAAAGAUUGAAAAGUGCGCAGUUGGGCUGGGUUUGGAUCAAAGUGCGCUUUCCUUUUUUGGGCUAUAUUUUAUCGGUUUCUAUGGAUUUUUCUAAAUAAAAAAUGAG
rnacentral:lncRNA from 1 species